GUGCAGACAAAACUUCUUGAGCUUAAAGAAUUGGAAAAUAAUCAGUUUAACUGGCACUCCCAGCCACAUAAUACACUUGUUAAUGGAACUGCUGAUCAUUCUAGUCUGAGCAACAGCAGCAGUGAAACUGCCAACCUUAAUGAGAAUGCUGAAAGAGAAAGCAUAGCAGAGGAUGAACAAAUAAACAGUGCAUCUCCAAUAAGGAAUAGUCCUGAAACAACAGCCUCUGUGGAAGAAGAGAAGGAGACCCCAGCUGCCACUACUGCCAAAAAGGAAGAUCCAUUUGAUGCUGAAUCUCAUCCGUUGCCUGAUCUAGUUUCUGAAGCCAGCUUAGAGUUCUUCCAGUCUGACCCUUUUGUUGGCAGUGAUCCUUUCAAAGAUGACCCUUUUGGGAAAAUUGAUCCCUUUGGUGGUGAUCCUUUCAAAGGCUCAGAUCCUUUUGCAGCUGACUGUUUUUUCAAACAGUCCUCCACUGAUCCUUUUGUGACUGCUGGCACUGAUCCGUUUAGCACUGCAGACAACAGUAAUAAUAUCACA